ensembl:lncRNA
AUUUGCUUAAAUGGGGGAUUCUCGGAGAUAAAUCACGUGAUAUCCGAUUAAAAGGGGGAUUUCCGAAAAGAAAACCCGUGAUUUUUGCUUAAAUGGGGAAUUUCCGAAGAGAAAACGCAUGAUAUUCGCUUAAAUGGGUGAUUUCCGAGGAGAAAAUUCAUGAUUUUCGCUUAAAUGGGGGAUUUCCGAAGAGAAAACGCGUGAAAUUUGCUUAACUGUGGGAUUCUCAGAGAUAAAACAGUUGAUAUUCAAUGAAAUGGGGGUUUUCCGAAGAGAAAAUGUGUGAUUUUCGCUUAAAUGUGGGAUUUUUGAAAAGAAAUCUCAUGAUUUUCGCUUAAAUGGGGGAUUUCCGAGAAGAAAACACGUGAUUUUCACUUAAAUGGCAGAUUUCUGAAGAGAAAACGCGUGAUUUUCACUUAAAUGGGGGAUUUCCGAAGAGAAAACACAGGAUUUUCGCUUAAAUGGGGGAUUUGCGAUGAGAAAACGCUUAAUUUUUGCUUAAAUGGGGGAUUUCUGAUGAGAAAACACAUGAUAUUUGCUUAAAUGGGGGAUUCUCGGAGAUAAAGAGUGUGAUAUCCAAUUAAAAGGGGGAUUUGUGAAAAGAAAACGCAUGAUUUUCCCUUAAAUGGGGGAUUUCUGAUGAGAAAACGCGUGAUAUUUGCUUAAAUGGGGGAUUCUCAGAGAUAAAACAGUUGAUAUUCGAUGAAAUGGAGGAUUUCCGAAGAGAAAAGGCGUGAUAUUUGCUUAAAUGGGGGAUUUCCGAGGAGAAAAUUCAUGAUUUUUGCUUAAAUGGGGGAUUUCCGAAGAGAAAACGCACGAUUUUCGCUUAAAUUGCAGAUUUCUGAAGAGAAAACGCGUGAUUUUCGCUUAAAUGGGGUAUUCUCGAGGAAAAAACCCGUAAUAUUCACUUAAAUGGGUGAGUUCCGAGGAGAAAAUUCAUGAUUUUCGCUUAAAUGGGGGGUUUCCGAAGAGAAAACGCGUGAUAUUUGCUUAAAUGGGGGAUUCCCGAAGAGAAAACGCGUGAUAUUUGCUUAAAUGUGGGAUUCUCAGAGAUAAAACAGUUGAUAUUUGAUGAAAUGGGGGUUUUCCGAAGAGAAAACGCGUGAUUUUUGCUUAAAUGUGGGAUUUCUGAUGAGAAAACACGUGAUUUUCACUUUUAUGGGGGAUUUCCGAGAAGAAAACUCGUGAUUUUCACUUAAAUGGGGGAUUUCCGAAGAGAAAACACAGGAUUAUCGCUUAAAUGGGGGAUUUUCAAAGAUAAAAUGCAUGAUUUUCACUUAAAUGGGGGAUUCUCGAAGAGAAAACGCGUGAUUUUUGCUUACAAGGGGGAUUUCUGAUGAGAAACCGUGUGAUUUUUGCUUAAAUGGGGGAUUUCUGAAGAGGAAACAUGACGUUUUUGCUAAAAUGGGGGAUUUCCGAAGAGAAAACGCGUGAUUUUCGCUUAAAUGGGGUAUUCUCGAAGAAAAAACCCGUGAUAUUCGCUUA